UUUAAAUGUCACAUGUGGGUUUUCGUGUCCAACGUUUAACGGUCCGUCUUAUUUCAAAUUUUUUUAAUUAAUAUGUUCAUUGUUAUUAGAUGAUAAAACAUGAAUGGUACUUUAUGCAUGACUUAUUUUUUAAAAAAUUUUAAAUAAGACGGACGGUUGACACGAAAACCCACAACUGCACUUAAA
rfam:Oryza glaberrima chromosome 8 Oglab08_0175_17, whole genome shotgun sequence.